GACGAACGCUGGCGGCGUGCUUAACACAUGCAAGUCGAACGGAAAGGCCCUGCUUUUGUGGGGUGCUCGAGUGGCGAACGGGUGAGUAACACGUGAGUAACCUGCCCUUGACUUUGGGAUAACUUCAGGAAACUGGGGCUAAUACCGGAUAGGAGCUCCUGCUGCAUGGUGGGGGUUGGAAAGUUUCGGCGGUUGGGGUUGGACUCGCGGCUUAUCAGCUUGUUGGUGGGGUAGUGGCUUACCAAGGCUUUGACGGGUAGCCGGCCGGAGAGGGUGACCGGCCACAUUGGGACUGAGAUACGGCCCAGACUCCUACGGGAGGCAGCAGUGGGGAAUCUUGCACAAUGGGCGGAAGCCUGAUGCAGCAACGCCGCGUGCGGGAUGACGGCCUUCGGGUUAUAAACCGCUUUCGCCUGUGACGAAGCGUGAGUGACGGUAAUGGGUAAAGAAGCACCGGCUAACUACGUG
rnacentral:rRNA from 1 species